AGAGUUUGAUCCUGGCUCAGAGCGAACGCUGGCGGUAUGCUUUACACAUGCAAGUCGAGCGCGAAAGUGACUUCGGUCACGAGUAGAGCGGCGGACGGGUGCGUAACACGUGGAUAAUCUGCCUUUAGGACUGGGAUAACUCAGGGAAACUUGGGCUAAUACCGGAUAAGACCACGGUUUCUACGGAAACAGUGGUAAAAGGGGGCUCUCGGGCUUUCACCUAAAGAUGAGUCCGCGCACCAUCAGGUAGUUGGUGAGGUAAUGGCUCACCAAGCCUAAGACGGUUAGCCGACCUUAGCGGGUGAUCGGCCACACGGGGACUGAGACACGGCCCCGACUCCUACGGGAGGCAGCAGUGGGGAAUAUUGGACAAUGGGCGAAAGCCUGAUCCAGCAAUACCGCGUGAGGGAUGAAGGCCUUCGGGUCGUAAACCUCUGUCAGUUGGAACGAUGGGUUCUGUAGGUAAUAUCUGCAGAACUUGACGGUACCUUCAAAGGAAGCCCCGGCUAACUCCGUGCCAGCAGCCGCGGUAAUACGGAGGGGGGCGAGCGUUGCUCGGAAUUACUGGGCGUAAAGGGUCCGCACGUGGCUUUGUAAGUUAGAUGUGAAAUCUUAGGGCUUAACCCUGAAACUGCAUCUAAAACUGCUUAGCUUGAGUACAGGAGAGGUUGGCGGAAUUCCCGGU
rnacentral:rRNA from 1 species